UUGAGAUGUGUGAGCUCUUUAUGUAUUUUGGAUAUUAGCCCCUUACUUGAUAAAUCAUUUGUGAAUAUAUUCUCCCAUACCAUAGGAUGUCUUUUUGUCUGCUGAAGGUGUUGUUUGCUGCACAGAAACUUUUUAGUAACCUUUAAGUUCUUACAGACUUCCAGUUACAGUACUGAAUUUGGGAAACUAAUGCAUAAAAUGAAACUUUGAACUUCAAGAGAACCCUAGUCUAGUUAGUGACAGCCUCAGGAUUUUGACAAAAGGGCAAUAAUUUGGCUGCAAAGAGGCGGGUCCAGGACCUAGCAAACUUCUCCCAAUAUCAGGAAAACUUAAGAAUGAUGCUUUUUGUAGGAAGUGCUAAUGGAGAUCAUGGGAAGGAACUAGAAAAAGAACUGGACACAUAGACCCAUGGAAUAGAAUAGUCCAAAAAUAAUCCCUUACAUUUUUCAACUUUUUUGAUGAGGGUGACAAGACAGUCAAUGGGAAAAAGAGUUUUCAACUAAUGGCAUUGGGACAGCUGGAUACCCUUCACAUUUAUUUUUGUCUAAAUAUUUCUUAUAAUUUCCCAUAAUUUCUUUUUGGGCAAUUGGUUAUUUAAGAAAGUGUUGCUUAAUUUCCACAUGUUUUUGAAUUUUCCAGUUUUCCUGUAUUGAUUUCAAGAUUCAACCCACAUGCAAAAGAAGUUGGAUCCUUGUUUAACACCAUAUAUAAAAAAUAACUCAAAAUAGUUCAUAGACCUAAAUGUGAGAGCUUAAAUGUUUAGGAGAAAACACAGGAGUAACUCGCCAUGACCUUGGAUAAGACAACAGUUUCUUAGCUAUAAUAUCUAAAACACAAGCAACCAAAGAAAAAUUGAAAACCAACUUCAAAUUUAAAAUCUUUGUGCUCCAAAAACCGUGAAAAGAACCUACAGAAUGGGGGAAAAAUACUGGGAAAUCAUAUACUUGAUUGCGAAGUUGCACUUAGAAUAUAUAAAAAACUCUUAGAACUCAGUAAUAAAAAGAAUCUAAUUUUUAAAAUGGCAAAAGAUAUGAAUGGACAUUUCCCUGAAGAAGAUACACAAAUGGCCAACAAGUACAUGAAAAGAUAAUGUCAUUAAUCAUCAGGAAAUUACAAAUUAAAAUGACAAGAUACUACUUCAUAACACUAGGAUGGCUGUAAUCCAAAAGAAAAAACAUGGAUGUGGAAAAAACAAUCCUUGUUACACUGCAGGUGGCAUCAUCUCAAAGAGUUAAACAUAGAGUUAGCAUAGCCAUUCCUGGGUAGACCCUCAGAAUUAAGAACGUGUCCUCAGAAAAACUUACACAUGAAUUUUAUAGCAAUUUUCAUAAUAGACAAAUGAAAAUAACCCAGUGUCCCUCAAGGGUGAAUGGAUAAAUAAAAUGUGAUAUAUCCAUUCAGUGGAAUAUUACUCAGGCAUUAAAAGGAAUGGCUGACUCAUGCUACAACAUGGAUGAACCUUGAAAACACUCCAGUGAGUGAAAGGAGCCAGAUACAAAGAUUAUAUACUAUAAGAUUUCAUUUAUAUGAAAUGUCCAGAAUAGGCAAAUCCAUAUUGACCAAAAGGUUAGUGUUUGUCAAGGUCAGGGGAAAAAGGAAAUAGGAAGUGACCAAUGACAGGUAAAUGGUACAUGAAAUGAUUUAUGAAAUAUAUCCCAAUAGAGCUGAUAGAAGAAAACUUUAUGUUCACAGAAGUUCAAGCUUCUCAUUUACAAAUAUAAUAUUAAAUGUAAAUAUAUAAAAAAUAUAAAAUAUUUGGAAGGUUCCAACAAAUUCAAUAUUUACUGUCUCCUAAUAUGGAAUAUUUUAUCAUAAUUAUAAAAUAGGAAAAUGUUCUGAAUUCUCCCUAUAAAUCUCAUUUAGAUGCCUCUAAAAAUCCCCUCCAGUUUGUGUGUACCACACAAAUAUUGACAUGUGCUAAGUAUUCCCUAACACAUAUGCUAUACCUACUGGUAUAGCAGAAAGAUAGUUCUAGAGAUGGAUAGAGUUGAGUGUCAAUCAUAAUUCUGCUGUUUUUAUAUGACCACUUUGAGCCAUAACCUCUCCGAGUCUUUAUUUUCUACUUAUAAAAUGGGAAUUAAUAUAUUUACUUGUAAUUACUAUGUACUUAACAAGGUUUAGAUUUAUGAAAAUGAUACGUAUUUGCUUAGUUAAGCCAUAUUUAUGUUAACCACUUUUUAAAAGAUUAUAACUUACGUUCACCUUUAGAACCUACAAAAAAGCAGGCUGCUGAAGAAAACUGGCUUUAUUUAGCUUUGUGAUAUAAUAAGUUAUAAGAUAUACAUAUUUAGUCAUUCGUGUGACCAAAUAUAUAUUUCCCAGGUAUAUUUGGUCUUCAUCCACAGUUCCUGAAAACACUGCAGUCUUAAAAGGUGGACCAGGUGUUUUGUCGUGUUAAUGAGAGAAUUUUAGACCCCACCCAAGGGCAGGGGAACAAGAAUGCCUCCGCGUGUCACCAAGCCAGGCCCCAAGCUCCGCAAAGACAGAAGCUCUUUCUUUUAUUUGGGACAUUGCCUUGUGUCUCUCUUCAUCUGGCUGUUAACUUGUAUCCUUGAUGGUAUCCUUUAUUAAACUGGUGAACUCAAGUGUUUUCCUGAGUUCUGUGAGCUGCUCUAGCAUAUCAGUUGAACCUAAGGGGAGGACGUGGGAACCUCCAAUCUGUAGUCAGAAGCACAGGUAUCUGCCUGGGGCUUGCGACUGUCGUCUGGAGUGGGGGUUGGAGGGCAGUCUUAUAGGAUGGAGCUCUGAGUCUCUGGGAAGAUAGCAUCAGAAUUGAGUUGAGUUCUUGGGACACCCUGCUGGUGUUCAAGAAUUGCGUGGUAGUAUGUGUGGGAAGACCCCCUGCCACAUGCUUACGUACAUUGGAAUUGGGUCCGGGAACCCAAACAGUUUUACUACUAUUACUGCUGGGUAUAUUGUUAUACAUACAUGUAGGGAACAAAUACACCAGUGCAUUUGGUGUCGGGAGUGGGAGUUACAGUAUCCAACCAUUAAAUUACUUUGCUUCCGGAUACUACCUAAUGCAGAACAAAGUCCCACUUCCCAAAGGAACGAGACCAAAUCCUCUUAAGUCCUUAAUAUUCUCUUGUUGAGAUGCUCAUGGUUUCCAUGGUGAGUGGUCUCCCUCAGCACCAUAAACAAAAACUCUUACUUUUUCAACCCUAGGUGUGUGGCUGGAGGAACAUCAAUUCUUUCAACCCAGGUCUCCUGUAUCCCUUCAAAUCACAUCUUCUAAGUAGCUGUUAUGAAUGAAUUGUGUCCCCUCAAAAUCCCUAUGUUGAAGCCCUAGCCCCCAAAAUGGCUGUAUUUGGAGAUAGGGUCUAUAAAGAGGCCCUUAUGGUUAGGUGAGGUCAUAGAUUGGGACCUUAAUCUAAUUAGAUCCGUGUCCUUAGAAAAGGAAGAGACCAGGGAAGCAUGUGCUCAGAGGCAAGGCCCUGUGAGGACAAGCCAGAAGGCAGGUGUCUGUGAGGCAAGGACAGGGGCCUGAGGGGAAACCAAAUUCGCCAGCCCCUUGAUCUUGGCCUUCCAGCCUCCAGAGCUGUGAUCAAUAAAUUUCUGUUGUUUAAGCAGCCAGCCUGUGGUAGUUCGUUCGUGAUGGUCCUAGCAGACUGAUACACUAGUCAUAAAGUCAUUCCACGUGGAAGGCCAUUUCUGAUCCUCAUGUUAUCAAUUAAGAAUAGAGGUAUCAGUUGGUGGAAAGAAAUGAACUAGAAUCCCAUCCAGAAUUCUUAAAGUAUAUCAGACUGUCUUCCUUAAGGCAUCUAGUUCUUCGUGUGAAACAGCCUAUUCUUUCAGGAGACAAGUGACUUAAUUUCAACCUGGGAUUUAGAAAUAAUAUUUGGAAGAAGUCACAUAUUAGGAAAGGGCCACUAAGGGUUUCUCACUUGACUCCAGACUUGACUGUUACUGAUCAGAUGUUCAAAGUUUGUUUUUGUGUUAGAAAAAUGUUUAAGUGCCCAGGAAAACUAGAAUAAUGUGAUCAAUACCCAUGUACGGCAGGCUUUAACAAAUCUUAACAAUUUAUUACAUGUUACUGUAUCACAGUAAAGUGGCGGGAGACUCUAAAAUGCCUUGUUAUGAAGAAAAAAUCUUAACAAUUUGCAUAUGUGCUUCAGACUCUUUUUUAAAAAAUAAGAUACUGAAGACACAGUUGAAGUCUGCUGUGAAGCCCUUGUCUGAGUCACCUCCCUCCUUUUCUGAGAGACAACCUGUGAGAGGAGCAAUAAAUAGCAGCCCCCGAAGAUGCCACGUUCUCACUCUGGGACCCUGUGAGUACCUUACGCUGCCUGGCAAAGGGGACUUGGUAGAUGUGACUAAAUGAAGGAUUUUGAGAUUGAGAAACUGUCUUGGGUUAUCCGGGUGGGCCUGAUACAAGAGGGAGCAGGAAGGUCAGAGGGGGAGAAGGAGAGUGAGGAUGAGGCAGGUGGGAGGGACGUGGGGCCAGGAGCCAAGGCCAGGGGACAGAUUCUCCUCUGCACCCUGCAGAGGGAGGCAGCCCCUGCGGAAACCUUGAUCUCGACCUGGGGAGGCCCAUUUGGGAAGUGCAAGAGAAUUUGUGUUGUUUUCAGCCACUAAGUUUGCGGUCAUCUAUUAUUGGAUUAGGAAAAUAGGAAUCAAUAGGGUCUCCAAAUUCACUAAUGUUCCCUUCUGCAAUGUCUGCUCUGCUAAAAAAUCCUGUCCAGUAGGUUUUGCAUCUUGAACACUUAAAAUUUUCAUCUCUAGUUUGAUGUGGGUCAUUCUUUUUUAACAUGUUUCAUGUCUCUCUACUUAACAUGUUCAACCUUUCCUCCAGUUUCUUAAACACGUGGAAUGCACUUGUGACAACAAUUUUCAGUAUCAUUUCUGGACUAGUUUCGACUGACUGUUCUUUCUUCUCAUUCCGGGAUAGUUUUUCCUACUUCUCUGCUUGCCUGGUUCCAGCACAGAUUCCCAUAUAACUACAGACAAAAUUCCAUGUACGGGGCUUGCUGAUGAAUCAUGAGGUCAUCUGGUAAACUUGUAGCAUUCAUCUUUCCAGUUCUGAGUGCUACAGAAUUGGAGGUUUUCCUUUUCUGGCACAGGUGCCUUACAUACAUGUUUGCAAUCCUCCCACGCCAGAGGGAUCAUUAUAUUCAUUUCAAAACGAUGAACUCAAGGCUCAGAGGUAAGAAACUGGCGUAGGGCCAUCCAGAUGGGUAAGGAGCAAGUUGGAACUUAACCCGCAUUUCCUCGACUCCAAAGUCCCUCCCUUUCUACCAUUUGCUACCUCCUAACAGCUAAUUCUUUCUUAGAUGUUCACCACCUUAGGCCAUUUUGGCCGCUCUAUUAGAGUACCACUGGGAGGCUUAACCAACAUUUAUUUUUCACAGUUCUGGGGGAUGAGAAGCCUGAG